GGGAAAAUAGUUCCAGAAAACAUUUUCCAUCAUACCAAACACACCCAUAGUUUUUUGGGAUUUUUGGACCUUUACGGAUGAAGCCAUUUAAAUUUCUCCUUUUCUUUAUAGUGGUUGCCGCAGUUAAUAUUACAUGUUCAUACCCCCCUCUUCUUUUUUUUUAAUUAAAUGUGGAUGGCUUUUCUAUCUUUUAACAUGUUUCCAAUUUUAUUACUCCAUUAGAUUUUAGUAAUGCACACUCAGUAGCUGGGUUUUUUGGGCUUUUGAUACUGCGGAGUGUUUUACACUUGUGCUAUUUGUCGUUUAAGUGUUCAAGGGCUUCUGCUUGAUUGAUUAAUGGCAUGAAAUGCACUAUUGAUACAACGUUUAAUUUUAUAUCUCCAUAAAGGACUAAUGGUAGGGGCUGCAUAAAGGACUAACUUGAAAAAAUUAUUCAUGUCCAAAAUGGCAUAAAGAAUUUCAUUAAUUUGACUCUUGUACUUAGAACCAUGUUACAUAAACUGACACUUGCGGAGUAUUGCGGUGGUGACUAACAAAUGUUCUCCGGCAUAUAUUUUUAGUGUCAGGGGGAGAAGAUGGAAAAUGAAAAAGACGAAUACACCCUUGAUGGAACUGUGGAUAACCACGGUCAACCUGCCGUGCGUGCAAGGACCGGAAGUGAAUCAAGGUCUAGCUACACUAGCCUUCUUUGGGGUUGGAGUCAAUUUAGUACUAUUUCUGACCAGAGUUAUGGGGCAAGACAAUGCUGAAGCAGCCAACAAUGUGAGCAAGUGGACAGGGACAGUUUAUAUCUUCUCCCUCUUGGGAGCUUUCCUCAGUGAUUCCUACUAGGGAAGAUACAAGACGUGUGCUAUUUUCCGAUCCAUUUUUGCGGC